rnacentral:rRNA from 1 species
GUACCCUGAUCCAACAUCGAGGUCGUAAACCCGCCUGUCGAUAGGGGCUCUUGAGGCGGAUUGCGCUGUUAUCCCUAGGGUAACUUGGUUCAUUGAUCAAAAUAUUGGGUCAAUUAAUGUCAAUUUAUUGGUGCAUAGAGUUGUGGUUCUUUGCUCAGGAAAUGGAAUUCCGUUCAAUGUGGAGGUUUUGUUUUGCUCCGCGGUCACCCCAACCUAAAACUAAAAAUCAUAAGGCUAUACUGUGUAUUAAUUAUCUGAAAUGUAAGAAAUUUAAGCAAUUGUUAUUUAGUUUAAAG